rnacentral:rRNA from 1 species
AGCGGCGGACGGGUUAGUAACGCGUGGGAACAUACCCUUUUCUACGGAAUAGCCUCGGGGAACUGAGAGUAAUACCGUAUAAGCCCUUCGGGGGAAAGAUUUAUCGGGAAAGGAUUGGCCCGCGUUAGAUUAGAUAGUUGGUGGGGUAAUGGCCUACCAAGUCUACGAUCUAUAGCUGGUUUUAGAGGAUGAUCAGCAACUCUGGGACUGAGACACGGCCCAGACUCCUACGGGAGGCAGCAGUGGGGAAUCUUAGACAAUGGGCGCAAGCCUGAUCUAGCCAUGCCGCGUGUGUGAUGAAGGUCUUAGGAUCGUAAAGCACUUUCGCCAGGGAUGAUAAUGACAGUACCUGGUAAAGAAACCCCGGCUAACUCCGUGCCAGCAGCCGCGGUAAUACGGAGGGGGUUAGCGUUGUUCGGAAUUACUGGGCGUAAAGCGUACGUAGGCGGAUCAAAAAGUAUAGGGUGAAAUCCCAGGGCUCAACCCUGGAACUGCCUUGUAAACUCCUGGUCUUGAGUUCGAGAGAGGUGAGUGGAAUUCCAAGUGUAGAGGUGAAAUUCGUAGAUAUUUGGAGGAACACCAGUGGCGAAGGCGGCUCACUGGCUCGAUACUGACGCUGAGGUACGAAAGUGUGGGGAGCAAACAGGAUUAGAUACCCUGGUAGUCCACACCGA